rnacentral:ncRNA from 1 species
GGCUCCGGCGGGGCGGGCGGCUGAAAGACAAAAGGACGUGGGGAAAGCACCUCCGCCGAGCCCCACCCCUCCCGCCCGUGAGCGGCGAAGGCGCUGGUCACUCGGGUGGGUGAAUAUGCCCGGCUCCGCUGGAUUUCGCGAACGCGGACGGUCCACGCUCAGCACGAGCAGGACACACACCGGACUUACGUCGGCCCCCGCCCGGGACUUCCACUCCCAACUGCGGGGGCCUGACCACCAAGGAAGUACAGCCCCUUCCCG